AUUGAACGCUGGCGGCAGGCCUAACACAUGCCAGUCGAGCGGAUGAAGGGAGCUUGCUCUUGGAUUCAGCGGCGGACGGGUGAGUAAUGCCUAGGAAUCUGCCUGGUAGUGGGGGAUAACGUCCGGGAACGGGCGCUAAUAACGCAUACGACCUGAGGGAGAAAGUGGUGGUUCUUCGGACCUCACGCUAACAGAUCAGCUUAGGUGCGAUUAGCUAGUUGGUGGGGUAAUGGCCUACCAAGGCGAGGAACCGCAACUGGUCUGAGAGGAUGAUCAGUCACACUGGAACUGAGAAACGGCCAAGACUCUAAGGGGAGGAACAGGAGGGAAAUAUUGGAAAAUGGGGGAAAGCUGGAUCAAGACAGGCGGGGGGGGUGAAGAAGGUCUCCGGAUUGUAAAGUAUGUUGAGUUGGGAGAAAGGGUAGUAAGUUAAAAAGUUGAUGUUUUGACGGUACCAUCCGAAUAAGCAACGGCUAACUUCGUG
rnacentral:rRNA from 1 species